GUCUACAGCCUUAGCACCCUGAAAGCGCCCAAUCUCAUCCGAUCUCAGAAGCUAAGCAGGGUCAGGCCUGGGUAGUACUUGGAUGGGAGAAAGCCUAGAAAUAGACC
ensembl:rRNA 5S_rRNA 5S ribosomal RNA